rnacentral:rRNA from 1 species
AUACAUGCAAGUCGGACGGAACUUAUCACUGGGUAACCGAAGGUAAGUUUAGUGGCGAACGGGUGAGGAAUACAUAGGUGACGUACCCCGGACUCAGGAAUAGCGGCGGGAGCUUGCUCCCUUUGCGAAAGUGCCGGUAAUACCUGAUGAUCCAGACGGGUUUCAUGAUCUGUCUGGCAAAGGUCCGCCGGUCUGGGAUCGGCCUAUGUCCUAUCAGCUAGUUGGUGAGGUAAUGGCUCACCAAGGCAUCGACGGGUAGCGGGUGUGAGAGCAUGACCCGCCACAUCGGGACUGAGACACUGCCCGGACACCUACGGGUGGCUGCAGCAACGAAUAUUCCGCAAUGGGCGCAAGCCUGACGGAGCGACGCCGCGUGCAGGAUGAAGUUUUUCGGAAUGUAAACUGCUGUCAGAGACUAGGAAAUUUGACCAAUCUCAAAGGAAGCGCCGGCUAAUUCCGUGCCAGCAGCCGCGGUAACACGGAAGGCGCAAGCGUUGUUCGGAAUCACUGGGCUUAAAGAGCGUGUAGGCGGAAUGGAAGGUGCCAUAGUGAAAUCCCUCGGCUCAACCGAGGAACUGCUUGGCAAACCAUCAUUCUUGAGACAGGUAGAGGCGACUGGAACGUUCGGUGGAGCGGUGAAAUGCGUAGAGAUCGAACGGAACACCAGUGGCGAAAGCGGGUCGCUGGGCCUGUUCUGACGCUGAGACGCGAAAGCGUGGGUAGCAAACAGGAUUAGAUACCCUGGUAGUCCACGCCGUAAACGAUGCGCACGUGGUUCGGGAGGCCCUGACGCCAUCCGUGCCGAAGCGAAAGCGAUGAGUGCGCCGCCUGGGGAGUACGGCCGCAAGGCUAAAACUCAAAGGAAUUGACGGGGGCUCACACAAGCGGUGGAGCAUGUGGAUUAAUUCGAAGCAACGCGCAGAACCUUACCUGGGUUUGACAUGCUGGGAUGCACCCGUGAAAGCGGGCUAUGCUACCUUCGGGUGAAACUAGCACAGGUGCUGCAUGGCUGUCGUCAGCUCGUGCUGUGAAGUGUCGGGUUAAGUCCCUUAACGAGCGAAACCCCUAUCGUUAGUUGCCAGCGGUUCGGCCGGGAACUCUAGCGAGACUGCCGGCGUUAAGCCGGAGGAAGGUGGGGAUGACGUCAAGUCCUCAUGGCCUUUAUGCCCAGGGCGUCACGCGUGCUACAAUGGUCCGUACAGAGCGACGCGAUACCGCGAGGUGGAGCAAAUCGCACAAAGCGGGCCUCAGUUCGGAUUGGAGUCUGCAAUUCGACUCCAUGAAGUCGGAAUCGCUAGUAAUCGCGUAUCAGCCACGACGCGGUGAAUGUGUUCCUGAGCCUUGUACACACCGCCCGUCAAGUCAUGGAAGCUGGGAGCACCCGAAGUCCGUUUAGCUGACCCGAAAGGGAGGCGACGGCCGACGGUGAGUUCGGUGACUGGGACUAAGUCGUAACAAGGUAACC